rnacentral:rRNA from 1 species
CCUACGGGUGGCAGCAGUGGGGGAUCUUGCACAAUGUGGGGAACCCUGAUGCAGCGACGCCGCGUGGGUGAAGAAGCGCCUCGGCGCGUAAAGCCCUGUCAGCAGGGAAGAAAAUGACGGUACCUGAAGACGAAGCCCCGGCUAACUACGUGCCAGCAGCCGCGGUAAUACGUAGGGGGCAAGCGUUAUCCGGAUUUGCUGGGUGUUAAGGGGGCGCAGGCGGCGAUGCAGGCCAGGAGUGAAAGCCCGGGGCUCAACCCAGGGACUGUCCUUGGAACUGCGUGGCUGGAGUACAGGAGGGGCAGGCGGAAUUCCUGGUGUAGCGGUGAAAUGCGUAGAUAUCAGGAGGAACACCGAUGGCGAAGGCGGCCUGCUAGACUGCAACUGACGUUGAGGCCCGAAAGCGUGGGGAGCAAACAGGAUUAGAUACCCCAGUAGUC